GUGCUCACUUCAGCAGCACAUAUACUAAAAUUAGAACAAUACAGAGAAAAUCAGCAUGGCUAAUUUUCUAGGAUGACACGCAAAUUCGUGAAACGUUCCACAUUUUU